UUCAGGUAAGAAGUGUUGAACUGCAGUCUAUCUGGUUCAGAUAUGAAUUAAGCAUGGGUGUAGUUUAUUUUCAUUGCGCUCGCUAACUCUUAACACCGCCAGUAGUUAUAAUUAGGCCGUUAAGCAAUUUAGCUAGCUGUGCAUGCAAACUAACAUGAUGGGGUUUCUCUAAUGCUGGACAGUUUCUAUGAUGCUAUUCUAGUUGUAAUUAUGUUAGUGCUUAAGUAACUUUAUUUUUUUAAUUUAGUUAGUUAAGUAUUAUCUCUAUUUGUUAGGUAGUUAAAAACUUUAUAAGGUCGAGCGGACGCGCCGGCGCGUCCGAGCACAUAACUUUUUUUUUUGUAAGACAACACAGGCAAGAUCUAGCCUGGUAGUUUCCAUUCAAACUUCUGUCAAAAGUGCGAAAUCUCAACUAUAUGACAGUUUAUGAGUGGUCUGAAUUGGCCAAGUUAAACCAUAUUUAUGAUAAGUCGAUCACUCCAUGCAGACUUUUGGAUUCCUCUAAGUAAGUACUGUAUAGAAUACAUGAUUCAACUGAGUAAAAAUACCAGCACUGUGAUCAUCAGAGCAAGUCCAUCAGGUGACAUUCUUUUUCACCUCUGUCUCCUUUCACUUUGAAGGUUCCCAUGUUUGAGGAAGCAUUUGGUGUUGCUGUGCAAAGUGUUGCUGCAGUGGAGGUUCAAGGUUACUGUUUAUUGAUAUGGAUCCCAUCAUACUUUGUUCAUUGUUUGUUCAGGAGUUUGCCCUAAGUCUCCGUGUUUGAGGGCCUAUUCUGUGGAUAUAUUUAUUUGCACUUUUAUUGAUGCAGUAAAUAAAUAGUCUAUGAAAAAAAUCA